UAUCUGAUUCGUGCUCAUGCACAGUGCAGCACGCCAAGGAAGUAUGAGUCAUAGAUUAGUGCAAGACGUCAAGCCAAGCAGACAGACUCACAGCUCACUGCUCCUGUGACCAAAGGACUCCAGCUGCAGGACCCCAAGGCUUCCCAGGAAGCCAGGACGGCAGGCAACAGAGGCAUCUUCGGGAAGUCGCCCACUGAGGGCUUUGAUGAAAGUUAGUGAAGUGACGUUAGGUCAGCAAUGAACCUCACUGGGACUCAGUACUCAGCAUGUGACGGUGUGACAGCGCCGGGAAUGUUACCAACAGCUGUCGUUGCAAUCUGCCAGCUUCCUGACCUCACCGGUCUGAGGAGGAGAUGUGUGAACUGAGUGACGCACAAAACAGAUGAAGACAAAGUACACUUGCAGUUGCUCAAGGCUGACUCUUUCCACCCUUCUGGCUCAAAGGUCCAGGCCCUCCAUGGACCUCAGUGGGCAGGUGGAGUCCUGGGAUGGAACCUGGGGUCUCUCCACGGACCUACAUUCCCAGUGCCACUGAGAAACCAGGUCCUGACACCUCGAGGAAACAACCUUCAACAUCUCAAUCCUUCGUGUCUUCUGCUCAGUUAAGACACGUGGGCGGCCAUGCGGAAGUAGAGAUAGAGUUUGCCUUGAAGCAGAUAAAGAGAGAGUUACACCUUCACAUGAGAGGGCGAGCGGCCCCCCACAGGCGUGGGCCCCGUGUGAGUUUGGGCAUCUUCUUACGCACACGAGAGUUACUCCUGGGCUCCAGGGAACUGUGGGAUUAUGAUUCUCAUGGGCCAAUUUUCUUAGAGCUUACUGUGGAGUUCUCGAAUAUCUUCCUGGUUCUUUUCAGGGGCCUCACACAUGUAAGAAAGUUGCAAAAGAAGUUUAUGAAAGAUAAAUUCUAAUCUAAAUCAACUCUUAGCCCAAGGCAAGAGGGGUCUUUAAAGAAUCCCUGUUCCCAGUAUCACUGGACCGCAGGCUGUGGCAACUAGGAACGCUGUGGGCCUUGUUCUAGAAACCCAGACCCUGUGUUCUGGGUCUGAGAUCUAAUAAACGAUUGUACGUUGUCA